UACGUAGGGGGCUAGCGUUGUCCGGAUUUAUUGGGCGUAAAGAGCGUGUAGGCGGCCAGGUAGGUCUGGUGUGAAAACUCGAGGCUUAACCUUGAGAUGUCAUCGGAAACCAUUUGGCUAGAGUCCGGAAGAGGAAAGUGGAAUUCCUGGUGUAGCGGUGAAAUGCGCAGAUAUCAGGAAGAACACCAAUGGCGAAAGCAGCUCUCUGGGACGGUACUGACGCCGAGACGCGAAAGCGUGGGGAGCGAACAGG
rnacentral:rRNA from 1 species